AGAAUCAACGCUGGCGGCGUGCCUAACACAUGCAAGUCGAACGCGGUUACUUUUGUUUCGCAAGGAACAGGAGUAACUGAGUGGCGAACGGGUGAGUAACACGUGGGUGACCUACCUUCGAGUGGGGGAUAACGUCCCGAAAGGGACGCUAAUACCGCAUAACAUCCUUCCUUUGAACAGGAGGAGAUCAAAGCCGGGGAUCGUAAGACCUGGCGCUUGAUGAGGGGCCCGCGUCCGAUUAGCUAGUUGGUGAGGUAACGGCUCACCAAGGCGACGAUC
rnacentral:rRNA from 1 species